rnacentral:rRNA from 1 species
UAACCUGCCCAAGAGAUCGGGAUAACACCUGGAAACAGAUGCUAAUACCGGAUAACAACAGAUGAUGCCUAUCAACUGUUUAAAAGAUGGUUCUGCUAUCACUCUUGGAUGGACCUGCGGUGCAUUAGCUAGUUGGUAGGGUAACGGCCUACCAAGGCGAUGAUGCAUAGCCGAGUUGAGAGACUGAUAGGCCACAUUGGGACUGAGACACGGCCCAAACUCCUACGGGAGGCAGCAGUA